rnacentral:rRNA from 1 species
UACGUAGGGUGCGAGCGUUGCCCGGAUUUAUUGGGCGUAAAGGGCGCGUAGGCGGCCACGCACGUCCGUUGUGAAAUCGCCCGGCUCAACUGGGCGGGGUCAGCGGAUACGGCGCGGCUGGAGCAAGCUAGGGGGCAAUGGAAUUCCCGGUGUAGUGGUGGAAUGCGUAGAUAUCGGGAGGAACACCAGUGGCGAAGGCGGUUGCCUGGAGCUUUGCUGACGCUGAUGCGCGAAAGCGUGGGGAGCGAGCCGG